CAACGCUCGUGUUUGGACACAAGCAAUUAUCUCUAAUUAUUGUUUUUCUUUUCAGUUUUCCUGUCCCGAUGGAGGUCCGACCAGACGAACAUGCAAUAAUCAGCCCCAGUCGUCCUGGCUCAGCGGGCCCCAGAGCUGCAGCCCUCAGUCCCGGGACUACACGGCCUUUCAUCUCAAUUCUGUAGAGAAUCAACCAACGCUUGCACGUGGACAAACUCCAGUGAAAACAAAAGGGUUCUUUUUAACUUCCAAUAAAAGCUGAACCAACAUACCCUGCCACUUGCAAGCAGAGCUGCUGCUGUCCGGCUGUAAUAAACCAGCAUCUCUCAGGAAUCCGACUUAGCCCUCCAAACCCUGCAUAUGCAACAAUAAUGGUCGGAACACACUCGAGGAAAUGAGAAAAGAGUGUCGUGGUCUGCGGGGCGGGGACGAAACACUGAACAUCCAUCUAUCUUUCAGCCCCUCCUGGGGAAGACAAAGCUGGCCUAACAGUGCUAUGAAAAGGGUGGCCUGUGAAUGGUUACUAUUCAAUUUGUAUUUGGUUCCCCCGCUGGUCGCGGAGCCGAGAUCAGAGCAGAAAGUGAAAACACAUGGGCAGGGUCAGCCGAAUCAGAGGACCACCACACACACACAGGCAGGGGGAAGGAACAAGCCAAUGGGAACUUGUGUGAAGAAAUGGAUUGAAUAAACAGACAUUGCAAUCGCCUGCACCCUAUUAUCCUAUAAUUGACACUGCCUGGGAGCAUGGAGACGUCGGCUAUUAGGAGAACGGCCCAUAGGAUUCCACUGAAAAGUAGCGUUCCACGCUUCACGCCAAUCAAAAGGCCCAGGCGUUAUAGUCUGAGACAAGUUUUGAAUUCUUUCGGGCCUAAUGUG